ACGAGGAAAAGGGGUCGCCAAGACCCCCGGUACAGUGGCGAACGGGUGAGUAACACGUGGGUAACCUGCCCCUGGAUUCGGAAUAACCUGCCAAAAGGCGGGCUAAUACCGGAUGACAUCGCGUGGUCUUCGGACUGUGCGAUCAAAGCUGACCUCUUCAUGAAAGUUGGCGUCUGGGGAGGGGCCCGCGGCCCAUUAGCUAGUUGGUGAGGUAACGGCUCACCAAGGCUACGAUGGGUAGCCGGUCCUGAGAGGUGCGACAGGCCACAGUGGGAACUGAGACCGGUCCCACACUCCUACGGGAGGCAGCAGUGAGGGAAUCUUGCGCAAUGGGGCCUAACGGCUGACGCAGCGACGCCGCGUGGAGGAUGAAGGCCUUGGAGUCGUAAAUCCUUUCGGGUGGAAGAUUAAGGCUCCUGUGGACUACUGCCAGAUUAUUGGUCUUGACUGUACACCGAGGAAUAGCACCGGCUAACUCCGUGCCAGUCAGCCGCGGUAAUACGGAGGGGUGCCAGCGUUGCUCCGGAAUCACUGGGCGUAAAGGGCGCGUAGGUGGUCUGAGUAAGUGUGAUGGUGAAAUCCCAUGGGCUCAACCCCUGUCGCCGUGCCGAUCUCAUAUGCGAGCUAGAGUCUGGUAGGGGCAAGGCGGAAUUCCGGUGUGUCGCGGUGAAAUGCGUAGAAUCCGGGAGGAAGACCAGGUGGCGAAGGCGGCCUGCUGGACAGUCUACUGACAGCUGAUGCGCGACAGCAGUUGGGGAGCAAACAGGAUUAGAUACCCCUGGUAGUCCUACGCCUUAAACGAUUGGUACUAGGUGCCUGGGGAUCGACCCCUUCGGUGCCGAGCGCUAACGCAUAAGUGACCCGCCAUGGGAGUACGGAUCGCAAGGUUGAAACUCAAAGGAAUUGACGGGGGCCCGCACAAGCGUGUGGAGCAUGUGUUUAAUUCGACGCAACGCGAAGAACCUUACCGAGGGCUUUGACAUGCAGGUGAAACCGCUCAGAACGAGAGUCUCCUUUCGGGAAGCCGGCACGAGGUGCUGCAUGGCUGUCGUCAGCUCGUGUCGUGAGAUGUUGGGUUAAGUCCGCAACGAGCGCAACCCUGUUCUUAGUUACCAGCGCGUAAUGGCGGGGACUCUAGGAAGACUGCCGGUGCCAAACCGGAGGAAGGUGGGGACGACGUCAAGUCAUCAUGGUCCUUACGUCUAGGGCUACACACGUGCUACAAAUGGGUCGGACAGUGGGUGGCCGAGGCAGCAAUGGCCAAGGCAAUCCCAAAACCGAUCCUCAGUUCGGAUUGUCGUCUGCAACUCGACGGCAUGAAAGCUGGAAUCGCUAGUAAUCGUGGAUCAGCAUUGCCACGGUGAAUACGUUCCCGGGCCUUGUACACACCGCCCGUCACGCCAUGGAAGUGGCGAGUGCCCGAAGUCCGUGUCGGAACCCGCAAGGGACCAAGCGGCCGAAGGCAAGCGUCAUGACUGGGGCG
rnacentral:rRNA from 1 species